UUAUCAAAGAGUAACAAUACAUCCUAAGCCCUAACAAUCCAAACUCUCGUAUCUUUCUUUUCAAACCCUCCUUAGUGUUACCAAAACAUCUCCUUAGUGUUGCUCGAAACAUCCUUCAAAACAUCCUCAACGAUUUUUCUUCAAACUGUCCUUGGUAGUGCUCGAGUCAUCUUCAACGAUCUGGUCGUUGCUCGUCUUUCGCAACCUGCUUGAAGGCAUUGACUUCCAUUCCCAUCUUCUGCACAAAUCGAUGAAGCAUCACAAAAAGGAGGGAUUUCUUUGCAUUCUUGAAGAUAUUGUAAAGCAAUUAUCUUAACAGUAGCUGAAACAAUUAUCAAGGAAAAUUAAUGAGAAAACCAAAGUCAUGGACAAGAGUUGGAUGUGUCAACCAAGAUCUUCUAGCAGGUACUUAGAUGGUUUAAACAAAAUUCUCAACUUUGCAUUUAGUAAUGCAGCACAAGGUGAUCAAAUUUUAUGUCCGUGCAAGAAUUGUAAUAAUUGUUGUUGGAGUAACCGAGCAGAAGUGUAUGAACACUUAAUUUGUGAUGGAUUUGAUAAAAGAUAUGAUAACUGCAUUUUUCAUGGGGAAGGUGGAUCUUCGAAAGUGGAUAAAGGAAAGGCUAAUAUGCAUGAUAAUUUGGAUGAACUUCUAGAGGAUACUUUCAUGAUGCCUGAGUGUGAUUUUGAUGACAUCUUGGAUGAAGAUGAAGAGUUUGAUGUAGAAAUGGUGAGGAUUUACAAUUUAGUAGGAGAUUCUCGUCAAAAAGCAUACCCGGGUUGUAAAAAAUUCUCAAAACUAUCAAUCAUUUUUCGUUUACUCCAUAUUAAAAACCUUUAUGGGUGGAGCGAUGUAUCAUUUAGUGCGCUACUACUAUUGCUCAAAGAAUUUCUUCCUAAAAACUCUUCUUUGUCAGUAACAUUCCAAGAUUGCAAAUAGUUAAUCAAAGAGUUAGGUUGUAGUUAUGAAAAAAUCCAUGCUUGUCCUAAUGACUGUAUCCUAUUUUGGAAAGAGCAUGAGAAUGAAAAUGCAUGCCCCAACUGUGGCGCUUCUAAAUAUAAAGAGAGAGAGUGUCUAAAUCUUAAGAAGAAAGUUUCUUGCAAAGUGUUGAGGUAUUUUCCUCUUAAACCGAGGAUCAAGAAGUUAUAUAUGUCAUCAAAAAUUGUUGAUUCAAUGAAAUGGCAUGAGAAGGGUCGUCCUAAUGAUGGAAAAUUAAGGCAUCCUGCAGAUUCACUUGCUUGGAAAACUUUUGAUUCACUACAUCCUGAUUUUGCAUUGGAUCCACGAAAUGUGAGGCUUGGGUUAGCAAGUGAUGGAUUUAAUCCAUAUAAGACAAUGAGUAGAAAAUAUAGUAUUUGGCCAGUUGUUUUUAAUGUCAUACAACCUACCUCCAUGGGCUUGCAUGAAGCAACCUUAUUUGAUGUUAUCUUUACUUAUUUCAGGUCCUUCUUCCCCUAGUUGAUGUCUAUUUAAAACCUCUAGUUGAUGAGAUAAAGGAGUUAUGGGAGAAAGGAUUUGAAACCUAUGAUGCCUCUAGUUGGCGUACUAGUGGAAAGUUGGCGUGCCUUGUGCGUAACUAUGAUACAUGGUCCAAGUACUUGUCGAAAAGUAAAAAGAUGUGCUACAUGGGUCAUCGUAGAUUUUUGGACUCUAAUCAUAAAUGGCGGAAAAAUAAGAAAUGUUUUGAUGGCUAUGAAGAAUUUAAAGUUGCUUCAGUUCCAUUAUUAGGUUCUACUUUAUUGGAAAAAAUUGGCGAAAGAUAGAAUUUAUUUGGAAACCCUCAAAAGAGGAAAAUAAAUAAUGUUGAUCUAUGGACAAAAAAAAGUAUAUUAUUUGAGUUGGCAUAUUGGGAUACUAAUUUGCACCGUCACAAUCUCGAUGUAAUGCACAUCGAAAAUAACAUUUGUGAAAAUGUAAUUGUAACACUAUUGAAUGUAGAUGGGAAAUCAAAGGAUCAUAUCAAAGCUUGCCUUGACUUGGUAAAGAUGGGUAUAAGGCAGGACAUUCACCCAAUAGAAAUAGAACCAAAUAAAUAUUAGUUACCACCUACACGAUUUACUUUUUCAUCAAAAGAAAAGGAUAUCUUUUGUGGCAUUUUGAAAGGAGUGAAGCUUCCAGAAAAUUAUGGGUCUAAUAUUUCUAAUUGUGUUCAACUUGAGCAGCAAAAACUUUUUGGGCUUAAAAGUCAUGAUUUUCAUAUUCUGAUGCAAGACUUACUUAAAAUAGCAGUACGAAGAGUUUUACCAAAAGAAGUCACAAGAGUUUUAAUUAAGUUAAGCUCAUUCUUCAAGAUUUUAUGCUCCAAAGUUAUCAAUGUUGAAUUAUUUGAAUGUUUGGAUGUUGAAAUUGCAUUGAUUCUUUGCGAAUUGGAAAGAAUUUUCCCUCCAUCUUUUUUUGUUAUAAUGGUUCAUCUAUCAAUACAUUUAGCAUACAAAGCUAGAAUUGCAGGACCCGUGCAUUAUCGUUGGAUGUAUCCAAUUGAGAGGUAAUUUGAUUUAUAUUUUUGUCCUUUUGUAGGUUUCUUUUUAAUUCGUACUUAAGUUUUAUACUUGUAUGCUUAUAAGUUUCUUCUUAAUUUAAAGAACUAUGUGCGUAAUAGACAUUAUCCAGAGGGUUCUAUUGUAGAAGGGUAUAUAGCAUAUGAAUGUUUGACAUUUUGUUCAAGGUACUUAGAUGACGAUAUCCAAACAAAAUUCAAUGAACCAGCAAGGAGUUUAGAUGGCCCUAUAGGAGAUAGAGUCAUGACAAGUUUGGAUCCUCUUACAUGGGAGCAAGCUCAUCGAUAUGUGUUAUUCAAUUCUGAAGCUAUCAAACCAUUUCUCAAGCAACAUGAAGAAUUUGUUUUCAGUCACAAUCGUCAAGGUUCAACAAGAAAAUGGAAUAAGGCUGAAGAUCAAUGUCUUACUUUUCAUGAAUGAUUUGAAGAUCGAGUAAGGAAUUUAGAUGUUAAUGAAGAUGUUAAAUGGUUGUCUAAAGGGCCAAAUACAGUUGCAAGAAGAUUUUAUGCAUAUGCAAUAAAUGGCUACAAGUUUGUCAUUGAAAGUCGUGAAAGAAGCAAGAAAGAUGAAAAUCCGUUGGUAGAAAAUGUUACCUACUAGGGAGUUUUGAAAGAUACAAUUGAAUUGGAUUACUAUGGACAUUUCAAGUUUGUGUUGUUCAAAUGUCAUUAGUUUCAAAUUAAACAAGAUGGUUUUAGAUUGGUACUCAUAAAUUUUCAUAGGUUGAUCUAUGAAUGAUCCUUUUGUAUUUGCAUCUCAAGUAAAGCAAGUGUAUUAUACAAAAGACCCAAAUGAUGAUUGCCA